UACGUAGGUGGCAAGCGUUGUCCGGAUUUAUUGGGUUUAAAGGGUGCGUAGGCGGCUUUGUAAGUCAGUGGUGAAAUACUCUAGCUUAACUAGAGGGGUGCCAUUGAUACUGCAGAGCUUGAGUACAGAUGAGGUAGGCGGAAUUGACGGUGUAGCGGUGAAAUGCAUAGAUAUCGUCAAGAACACCAGUGGCGAAGGCGACACACUGGCCCAUUACUGACGCUGAGGCUCGAAAGCGUGGGGAGCAAACAGG
rnacentral:rRNA from 1 species